rnacentral:rRNA from 1 species
UACAGAGGUCCCAAGCGUUGUUCGGAUUCACUGGGCGUAAAGGGUGCGUAGGCGGUCGGGUAAGUCGGAUGUGAAAUCCCAGGGCUCAACCCUGGAACUGCAUUCGAUACUGCCUGGCUAGGGUACUGGAGAGGAGACUGGAAUUUACGGUGUAGCAGUGAAAUGCGUAGAUAUCGUAAGGAAGACCAGUGGCGAAGGCGAGUCUCUGGACAGUUACCGACGCUGAGGCACGAAGGUCAGGGGAGCAAACGGG